rnacentral:rRNA from 1 species
UGCAGUCGAACGAACUUCCGUUAAUUGAUUAUGACGUGCUUGCACUGAAUGAGAUUUUAACACGAAGUGAGUGGCGGACGGGUGAGUAACACGUGGGUAACCUGCCCAGAAGCAGGGGAUAACACCUGGAAACAGAUGCUAAUACCGUAUAACAGAGAAAACCGCCUGGUUUUCUUUUAAAAGAUGGCUCUGCUAUCACUUCUGGAUGGACCCGCGGCGCAUUAGCUAGUUGGUGAGGUAACGGCUCACCAAGGCGAUGAUGCGUAGCCGACCUGAGAGGGUAAUCGGCCACAUUGGGACUGAGACACGGCCCAGACUCCUACGGGAGGCAGCAGUAGGGAAUCUUCCACAAUGGACGCAAGUCUGAUGGAGCAACGCCGCGUGAGUGAAGAAGGGUUUCGGCUCGUAAAGCUCUGUUGUUAAAGAAGAACGUGGGUGAGAGUAACUGUUCACCCAGUGACGGUAUUUAACCAGAAAGCCACGGCUAACUACGUGCCAGCAGCCGCGGUAAUACGUAGGUGGCAAGCGUUAUCCGGAUUUAUUGGGCGUAAAGCGAGCGCAGGCGGUCUUUUAAGUCUAAUGUGAAAGCCUUCGGCUCAACCGAAGAAGUGCAUUGGAAACUGGGAGACUUGAGUGCAGAAGAGGACAGUGGAACUCCAUGUGUAGCGGUGAAAUGCGUAGAUAUAUGGAAGAACACCAGUGGCGAAGGCGGCUGUCUGGUCUGUAACUGACGCUGAGGCUCGAAAGCAUGGGUAGCGAACAGGAUUAGAUACCCUGGUAGUCCAUGCCGUAAACGAUGAUUACUAAGUGUUGGAGGGUUUCCGCCCUUCAGUGCUGCAGCUAACGCAUUAAGUAAUCCGCCUGGGGAGUACGACCGCAAGGUUGAAACUCAAAAGAAUUGACGGGGGCCCGCACAAGCGGUGGAGCAUGUGGUUUAAUUCGAAGCUACGCGAAGAACCUUACCAGGUCUUGACAUCUUCUGCCAACCUAAGAGAUUAGGCGUUCCCUUCGGGGACAGAAUGACAGGUGGUGCAUGGUUGUCGUCAGCUCGUGUCGUGAGAUGUUGGGUUAAGUCCCGCAACGAGCGCAACCCUUAUUACUAGUUGCCAGCAUUCAGUUGGGCACUCUAGUGAGACUGCCGGUGACAAACCGGAGGAAGGUGGGGACGACGUCAAAUCAUCAUGCCCCUUAUGACCUGGGCUACACACGUGCUACAAUGGAUGGUACAACGAGUCGCGAAACCGCGAGGUUUAGCUAAUCUCUUAAAACCAUUCUCAGUUCGGACUGUAGGCUGCAACUCGCCUACACGAAGUCGGAAUCGCUAGUAAUCGCGGAUCAGCAUGCCGCGGUGAAUACGUUCCCGGGCCUUGUACACACCGCCCGUCACACCAUGAGAGUUUGUAACACCCAAAGCCGGUGGGGUAACC